rnacentral:rRNA from 1 species
UACGGGGGGGGCAAGCGUUGUUCGGAAUUACUGGGCGUAAAGGGCUCGUAGGUGGCCAACUAAGUCAGACGUGAAAUCCCUCGGCUUAACCGGGGAACUGCGUCUGAUACUGGAUGGCUUGAGUUUGGGAGAGGGAUGCGGAAUUCCAGGUGUAGCGGUGAAAUGCGUAGAUAUCUGGAGGAACACCUGAGGUGAAGACGGGUUGCUGGGCUGACACUGACGCUGAGGCGCGAAAGCCAGGGGAGCAAACGGG